rnacentral:rRNA from 1 species
UACGUAGGGCGCAAGCGUUGUCCGGAAUUGUUGGGCGUAAAGAGCUCGUAGGCGGCUUGUCACGUCGGGUGUGAAAGCCCGGGGCUUAACCCCGGGUCUGCAUUCGAUACGGGCUAGCUAGAGUGUGGUAGGGGAGAUCGGAAUUCCUGGUGUAGCGGUGAAAUGCGCAGAUAUCAGGAGGAACACCGGUGGCGAAGGCGGAUCUCUGGGCCAUUACUGACGCUGAGGAGCGAAAGCGUGGGGAGCGAACAGG